rnacentral:rRNA from 1 species
GACGUAGGGCGCAAGCGUUGUCCGGAUUUAUUGGGCGUAAAGAGCUCGUAGGCGGCUUGUCGCGUCGACUGUGAAAACCCGCAGCUUAACUGCGGGACUGCAGUCGAUACGGGCAGGCUAGAGUUCGGUAGGGGAGACUGGAAUUCCUGGUGUAGCGGUGAAAAUGCGCGAUAUCAGGAGGAACACCGGUGGCGAAGGCGGGUCUCUGGGCCGAUACUGACGCUGAGGACGAAAGCGUGGGGAGCGAACAGG